rnacentral:rRNA from 1 species
GGACGAACGCUGGCGGCGUGCUUAACACAUGCAAGUCGAGCGGUAAGGCCCUUCGGGGUACACGAGCGGCGAACGGGUGAGUAACACGUGGGUGACCUGCCUCUAGCUCUGGGAUAAGCCUGGGAAACUGGGUCUAAUACCGGAUAUGACUCCACGGCGCAUGUUGUGGGGUGGAAAGCCUUGUGUGGCUAGAGAUGGGCCCGCGGCCUAUCAGCUUGUUGGUGGGGUGAUGGCCUACCAAGGCGACGACGGGUAGCCGGCCUGAGAGGGCGACCGGGCCACACUGGGACUGAGACACGGCCCAGACUCCUACGGGAGGGCGAGCAGUGGGGAAUAUUGCGCAAUGGGCGAAAGCCUGACGCAGCGACGCCGCGUGUGGGAUGACGGCC